rnacentral:rRNA from 1 species
UACAGAGGUCUCAAGCGUUGUUCGGAUUCAUUGGGCGUAAAGGGCGCGUAGGCUGCGGGGCAAGUCGGGUGUGAAAUCUCAGAGCUCAACUCUGAAACUGCACUCGAUACUGCUUUGCUUGAGGACUGGAGAGGAGAUUGGAAUUCACGGUGUAGCAGUGAAAUGCGUAGAUAUCGUGAGGAAGACCAGUGGCGAAGGCGGAUCUCUGGACAGUUCCUGACGCUGAGGCGCGAAAGCCAGGGGAGCAAACGGG